GACAGGAGGGUGCAAACGUUGCUCGGAAUCACUGGGCGUAAAGGGCGUGUAGGCGGGACAGUAAGUCGGGCGUGAAAUCCCUGGGCUCAACCCAGGAACUGCACUCGAAACUACUAUUCUUGAGUGUCGGAGAGGAAAGCGGAAUUCCUGGUGUAGAGGUGAAAUUCGUAGAUAUCAGGAGGAACACCAGUGGCGAAGGCGGCUUUCUGGACGAUAACUGACGCUGAGA
rnacentral:rRNA from 1 species